ensembl:lncRNA
UGGUGGUGGGGGCUGCUGCACUGGAGGGGGAGAAGAGGAGAAAGCCGUGGCUGAGGUGCUGUCCGUGAAGGACAGGCGACUCCCAGCAAACAAGCGGCACAAACAUUAGUUUGCGAUCACUUCCAAGCUUCUUCUCCAUCCUGCGUCUCACUGGUUUUAUGUACGUAGGUGUCCGCUUUAUCAGCGAAGCGCCUUUCCUAAAGGGAGCACGGUCUUCGCGUGCGAUUUCAUUUGAAAUCACGUCUCUGUUUCUUUUUUUCCCCAGUCCACAGCAGACGCAGCGAAGCAGGCUCGACUUCCUUCCCGUGGAGAUAAAUUCACUUUUACGCGCAAACUUGUCUGGACCGUUCGGACUUGAUCAAAGGCGGCGGAGGCGAACGCGCAGAAAUACCGCGGACUCUUUAACGCCCGCGCUAAACGUUUAUAGCGCUUUACAAUUGAAGCCGUGUGUGUAUGGCGGUGUUUUUUUUUUGUUGUUGUUGUUGUUGUGUUUGGGUGUUUUUUGUUUUGUUUUUGUUUGUUUUGCUUAUCUUCAGAAAUAAACCUCCCCUCAAAAAAAUAAAAAUUUAGAAACUCUGGAAAGCGUCUACAUACAGAGCAGGUGGUGAAUUUAAAAAAAGAAAAGAAAAAGAAGAAAGGUGGGUAAACUGUGACCUCCAGGCGGUAAUUAGGCCUACCAUUUGCCAAAUAACCGCCACUAUAAACAAAUGGGCCUAUCAAUUAGAUUUCCAGAAAGGACUGAUUGCUCCUUUUCAUGCCAGACUUGAACUAUUCCGCAAAUAAAAACAAGGAGUUUGGUGUGGUCUGCCUUCCAUUACAGCGCCGUGAUAGGCCAAAACAUGGUACGCAGAUGAACGGUAGACCUAGUUUAGUAGUCUGAUCAAACUUGUGGAGUGAGGAGGAAGCACAGGGAGGCCAGUUUGGUGAAAAAACAAAACAAACCCCCUCUUAAAGCUAAAUAUCAGAAAGUUGCAUGUGUGACUGGCCUGCUCUCCUCCUCCUGCUCCACCUUCACGCAUAGAUCCGGUUCAGCACAAUCACAAAUGAAAACAAACAGUAGUGGUGAGAAAAAGGUGUGUGUGUGUCAGUGUGUGAGUAAAUGUGUGUGAGCUCAAGCUACACCUUUGUUGGUGGGAAUGGGAGUGGGAGUAUUCCUGGUGCGCGACUCAUAUAAGCAUGCCUGAUGAUGUCCCGUUGCCCCCUCCCCUGGAAAAAAAAAAACAGAAUGCAAGAAAGCUUCUAGUCUCCUGCAGGAGACGAGAGUGCAUGGGAAAGAGAGGGAGAGGGAGCAAGGGAGAGUUUCUCCAUCAAUUUUUUGUUUAAUGUCAGCGCUUUAGCUCCAUUGUGGGAGCGAGAGGACGCGUCAUCCGGGCAUAAAUUUGCUAUUAUACAAGCUUCACGGAGACUCACAUCCAGAAGAUCCUGCCGCUUGUAGACGGGAGAAAUCCCUCGGUGGGUAAAUACGGCAAAAAAGAGUUAACAUGUAAGUAAAUGGGAGGACUGUUUAAGGCUACACAGUUGAAUGCGCGUUAAGCUCGAUUAUUUUUAAGUUUUGGGGAGGAAGAAAGACUCAUUUGAUUUUCUUUCCUUUUUAGUUUAAAGCUGGGCGCUUUGGGGGAACAUCUGUUUAUUAGUCAGAUUGCUGCUGGUGCGUCACCGUGAUGGAGUCACGCAAAGUCC